rnacentral:rRNA from 1 species
GGUUAAGCUACAAAGAGCGCAUGGUGGAUACCUGGGCGCGAGCAGCCGAUGAAAGACGCAUGACACAGCGAAAUUCCACGAGGAGUCGGUCAAGACUAAGAUCCGUGGGUAUCUGAAUGGGGCAACCCCACCGAGUCAUGUCGGUGACGCCAAACUGAAUUCAUAGGUUUGAGCGAGGCAAGUCAGGGAACUGAAACAUCUUAGUACCUGGAAGAAAGUAAAACAAAACAGUGACUCCCUUAGUAGCGGCGAGUGAAAGGGGAAUAGGCCAAACCAGCAAAACGAAAGUUUCGCUGGGGUAGCGGGACUCUAUACGGGAUUGUAAGUGGUUAGUUGAAGAGCCUGGAAAGGCGCACCAAAGACGGUGAUAGUCCGGUAAGCGAAAACCAUGAACACCUAAGAGUAUCCCAAGUAGUGCGGGGCACGUGAAACCUUGCAUGAAUCAGCCGGGACCAUCCGGUAAGCCUAAGUACUGCUCGUGACCGAUAGCGUACAAGUACUGCGAAGGAAAGGUGAAAAGAACCCCGGGCAGGGGAGUGAAAUAGAAUAUGAAACCGUGUGCUUACAAGCAAUCGAAGCACUAUUAGAUAGUGUGACGGUGUGCCUGUUGAAGAAUGAGCCGGCGAGUUACCGUAUGUUGUAGGUUAAGCGAUUAAUACGCGAAGCCAUAGAGAAAUCGAGUCUGAUAAGGGCGACAACAUAGCAUGCGGUAGACCCGAACCCGGGUGAUCUAGGCAUGGCCAGGAUGAAGCGUGUGUAAAAAUGCGUAGAGGUCCGAACCAACCGAUGUUGAAAAAUCGGUGGAUGAGCUGUGUUUAGGGGUGAAAUGCCAAUCGAACCCGGAGCUAGCUGGUUCUCCCCGAAAGGCGUUGAGGCACCGCGUCAGGUUUAUCUUAUAGGGGGUAGAGCACUAGUUCGGUGCGGGCGGAGAAAAUCCGUACCAAAUCGAGUUAAACUCCGAAUACCUAUAACGUCAUUACCUGGCAGUGAGACUGCGAGAGAUAAGUUCCGUAGUCAAGAGGGAAACAGCCCAGACCGCCGACUAAGGACCCAAAAUGCAUGCUAAGUGAUUAAGGAGGUGGAGUUGCAUAGACAACCAGGAUGUUGGCUUAGAAGCAGCCACCAUUUAAAGAAAGCGUAAUAGCUCACUGGUCAAGCGACUCUGCGCCGAAAACGUACGGGGCUAAGCAUGCUUCCGAAAUCGCGGGAUCAGAUUUAUCUGAUCGGUAGGGGAGCGUUGUGUUGUAGGCAGAAGGUAGAGCGAAAGCACUACUGGACGAACCACAAGUGAGACUGUCGGCUUAAGUAGCGAAAACAUUGGUGAGAAUCCAAUGCACCGAAAGACUAAGGGUUCCUGCACAAGGCUCGUCCAUGCAGGGUUAGGCGGGAGCUAAGGCGAGGCCGAGAGGCGUAGCCGAUGCACAGAAUGUUAAUAUUCAUUCCCCACACGUUAAUCGUUAGGAGCUAAGUCGGGACGCAGGAGGCUAUGCGAUGGGGGCCAAUGGAUAUGGUCUCCUCCAAAGGCGUAGUUAGUCAGAGUUGGCAAAUCCGCUCUGGCGUUAAGACACGAGGCCAAGUAAGCAAGAUCCCACGGGAUCAAGAUCGUAGAUGCCAUGCUGCCGAGAAAAGCGGCGAAAGCCAGAUUAACGGGUGCUCGUACCCGAAACCGACACAGGUAGUCAGGUAGAGUAUACCAAGGUGCGCGAGAUAACUCUCUCUAAGGAACUCGGCAAAUUGACCUCGUAACUUCGGAAGAAGAGGUGCCAUGUUAGGGUGUAAGUCCAUGCGACUGAAGCCUGAGAUGGUUGCAAAAACCAGGCUCAAGCGACUGUUUAACAAAAACACAGGUCUCUGCAAAACCGUAAGGUGAAGUAUAGGGGCUGACGCGUGCCCAGUGCCGGAAGGUUAAGUGGAUCGGUUAGCGCAAGCGAAGCUGAAAAACA